rnacentral:lncRNA from 1 species
UCCUUGACAUCUAUUUGAAGUGUAUCAAGUGUAAUAAUCCCAUCAGUUAACGGAAGCAACUCAAGCUUGACCGUAGCGCUCGAAUGUGCAGGAACACAUCCUAGAGGUACCGCACUCUGCAACCAUAGAUGUGUACAGCCUGAGUCAUCACUUGAAAUCACAUCAGACACUGUACCAGUUCGAUGCUCAAGGGAGCUUGAUCUUAUUCCACCACCAUCACUCACUUUCUGAGAUUCUAUUGUGAUAGGCAUUGAACUCUGCCUGUGCAUACUAAUACUGCGUCUAUCCCCACCCAUCCUUCCCAUAUACUCAUGAAAACCAAUAAAAGGGCUCACUGGGGUAUUUGGUGAAGAGUUCAAGGAUAAAAUGGAAGGUGAGGAAGUAGAUGAUUCUGGAGCAAGAACAGUUAGUUUUGGACAUUAGAACCAUGUCGUCAGCACUGGAAUUAUAAGCCACGUCAUCAGCUACGAAUGUGGAAUCAAGCCGAACAUUCUUCAAUCCACAUUGGUCCUGAAAUAGGCAGAGAUGGCGCCAUUGGGUGCCGACAAUCUCAUGGUAUGGACCUCCAUCUUUCCAAUAUCAUACAUAACCUCGCAGGCAGCGUUUUGAUCCACGAAGAAAGUUGAGACAAACAAGAAGGGGCAUAAAGCAGGGUUACAUGCACUCAAAAUCCCUGUUGCAAUGCUGGAAGUUGCAUAUAUCUUCAAGGACUGCUCUGGUAUAUAUGUCAGACCUGUUACGUCAAAAGACAGUUCAUGAGAUUUCACAACUGGGAGUAAAAUACAAAAUAUAUAUUUAAUUUCUCAAGAAGAUUUUGCUUCGUCAGGUUUUCUCUCUCAAUCUGCCAGAGUCAUGGCACCAUACAGAAACUGUAAGAUCCCAUCUACAAACAAUUUCUGCAGUUCAAACUGCAAGAAGAUUUUGCUUCAUCUGGUUUCUUUUCUCUCAAUCUGCCAGAGUCGAGGGGAACCACACAGAAACAGUAAGAUCUCUUCUUAAAACAAUUUUUGUACUCCAAGAAUGAGCUCGGGAGAUCAAUAGAUGUAGUUGAUCAUUUAUAGAUUUUAGUCAAUAUAUAUCUUUUCAACUUUGAAAUUUGCAUAUAUGCUUAAAUAAUUACAAUUCAAGCCAGGUUCUUUCUUAAAGUAACUGGAAUAAUAAUGAAGUUCAGCAAAUUGCCUUUACAUGUAUUAAAAAACCUCAUGCUGGAAAAGUAUAACAAGACAAUCAUGACCUAGUCAAAUUGCAGUACUAACUGAAAAGGAUAUACCGUAUCUAAACAAAAAUGAUGCAGAAAUAAUUGACGGUUAUGAUUAUACCAUAUAUCAAAUGCAUUUAUAAGACAAAAUCAGGUUCCAUUUCCAAUUAUAUCCAAGCCCGAUCAAUGCGCUUUGAAGCGCAAAAGGAAGUUAUUCAUUGUCGUGCACCCUCAAAAUAUAAUGCAGAUGCAUGCCCGAUAGGUGCUACGGCAGUCCAACAGGAAAAGCAUACUCGACCACAUUUCUAACCAACUCUUUAAGAAAACCUACAAGCAGGACCUGAAAUUUUUCCAUCAUGCAACAAAAUUCCUUACUUCGCCCAAAUAUGUAGAGCUUUCUUUAAAUGAUAGGAGCGAAACAGAUAAAUAAGCAACAAUCACAGCACCUCCCCCAUUUAGUAUACAUAAAUGACUAGGGAAACUUGGUAGUUCCAAAAACAGAGAAAAGUCAGUUUUGGCAGGCAAAACAACUUAUUUACAAAAAUGUUGGUUGUGCAUUCCUUUUUAAAUCAUAAAUAGCCCUAAUUAGACUUAAAAAAGAGCCAGCUUCGCUUUCAUGAGAACCUCGAUUUGUACGAAAAAUAUCACAUACCUAACAUGAAUUUUGACCAAAAAAAAAAUGACAGCACCCAAAACUCGAGGAUUAUUUCUAUACUUUAUUGUUUGUUUGGUAACUAUGAUUUACAUCCAAGUCCAAGACAAAUAGCCUCAGUAAAAAUAAGAUUUAUUUUUUAAAAAAAUCAGGAAUAAGAGUGAUGAAAUAUUAAGGGGUAAAAAAUUACGGUGGAUACUGUUGAGUAUGUUAACUAAUAUAAUGAUAUGUUGAAUAACAUGGAAGAUUAAGGGCCUGUGGAUGCAGGGAGAUCUUAAUAAUCCACUAAGAUCUUACGGCAGGACUCAUGUUCUAAAAAUAUGUGUGAUUGAGGUGACUCAAAAGAAAUAGAUAAAGCUGGGUAACAACUAAUCCUUAUUUUUCCUGGAUAAGUUAAAUUAGAAGGGACUAAUUAUCCCAAAAAAUUAGGGAUAAGUUGUCGCUGGCUGCUGCAAACUCUUGUUAAGGCAUUCGUUCAUACAUGGUUUUAAAAGAACAGAGCCCACUAGGAAGAUCUUAUCCAUCCUAUUGAUCUUCCAGCAUCCAAGAAGACAAUAAAUGACUGCAAAAGCUGUAAUGCCCAAGAGUAAAGUCAAUAUACAAUUUAAACCAACAAGCCACAAUGUCAAGAGAGAUUUGAUAAUCAUAAGCAUUUAACAAACAAAUUAAAAUUGAGACUGAGUUAGGAGCUUAAAUAAGUGACAUAAUAUGUGCCCUUAUUGAAGAAUAUUAAGCAAAAUAGGUUACAUUGGAUAAUUUUGAAUGAAGUCAGGGAUUCAACUUCUAUUGAACUUUGUGUGCAUAAGUUGCCAAAAGAACAAACCAAUAUGGAAGGUAAAAAAAAUGGAAAUAGUACAAACAGUCACAAAGAUAAGAAAAAACCAAAAAAAAAGGAAGAAAGAAAGGUGGGGUUGGGGAGAGGAGGCAUUCUAUUUCCACAACUAUAUACAUCAUAACCAACCAUUCAGAAAAGCAAAAUUAUGUUCUUGGUUCUUGUGCACAUGUAUGAGGUUCCCCUUUAUGAAGUCAACUCUUCUUCCCCUUCAUUUUUGUGUUUCUUUUUUAUUAUUUCUUGACAUUAACGUAUAAAAAAUAGACAACAUUAUAUCUCCUGAUAAGACAGAGAUAGUAUGGACGGAUCAACGGUCACAGAUACCAAAAAAAAGAAAGGUGCAUGCAUGCAAUUUUUUUUGUUGCGCAAAGGGGGGNNNNNNNNNNNNNNNNNNNNNNNNNNNNNNNNNNNNNNNNNNNNNNNNNNNAAAGAAAAGUAUUUCCUUUACUUAGUUCUUGUGCACCUGCCUGAGGUUCCCCUUUAUGAAGUUGCUCUGCCCUUCCUCUUUUAUCUUUUUUGCUUUCUUUUUUGUUAUUUCUUGACAUUAAUUUAUAAAAACAGACAACAUUAUAUGUCCUUACAAUUCCGGAUCACUUGAAGUUGUAAGGCACUAAGGCACCAUAUUUGCAAAAGAUAAUUAAAUUUUAAACCCUAAUGAAGGCUAUGUGCGAACAAACAAAAGAUUCUGAAAAAAGUUGGAAAGAUGAAUUUGCAAAGUUAUGCAGAGCAAUACCUUUCUCCUUGACAUCUAUUUGAAGUGUAUCAAGUGUAAUAAUCCCAUCAGUUAACGGAAGCAACUCAAGCUUGACCGUAGCGCUCGAAUGUGCAGGAACACAUCUGAGUGGAUCAUGGAGAAUAAAAACCUCAGUUAUUUUUCCAAAAGCUAUAUCUUUUCCAGUUUUGGAUAAAGAACGAAAGUUGCAUAUGCAAUUACCCUAGAGGUACCGCACUCUGCAACCAUAGAUGUGUACAGCCUGAGUCAUCACUUGAAAUCACAUCAGACACUGUACCAGUUCGAUGCUCAAGGGAGCUUGAUCUUAUUCCACCACCAUCACUCACUUUCUGAGAUUCUAUUGUGAUAGGCAUUGAACUCUGCCUGUGCAUACUAAUACUGCGUCUAUCCCCACCCAUCCUUCCCAUAUACUCAUGAAAACCAAUAAAAGGGCUCACUGGGGUAUUUGGUGAAGAGUUCAAGGAUAAAAUGGAAGGUGAGGAAGUAGAUGAUUCUGGAGCAAGAACAGUUAGUGUAAGAUCUUCAGAUGUUAAAUUUGUAGCUUUUAGGGUUAACACCUG